rnacentral:sRNA from 1 species
AUAACGUGAUGGGAAGUAACCGCCUUCCCGUGUAUGAUUGAACCCGCAUGGCUCCCGCAUGGUUUGGGGAAGCGCUGAGGGUUCAUUUUUAU